CCUACGGGAGGCAGCAGUGGGGGAUAUUGCACAAUGGGGGGAACCCUGAUGCAGCGACGCCGCGUGGGUGAAGGAGUAUUUCGGUAUGUAAAGCCCUAUCGGCAGGGAAGAAGCAAGACGGUACCUGACUAAGACGCCCCGGCUAACUACGGGCCAGCAGCCGCGGUAAUACGUAGGGGGCGAGCGUUAUCCGGAUUCACUGGGUGUAAAGGGAGCGUAGACGGCCAGGCAAGCCAGGGGUGAAAGCCCGGGGCCCAACCCCGGGACUGCCCGUGGAACUGCAUGGCUGGAGUGCGGGAGGGGCAGGCGGAAUUCCUGGUGUAGCGGUGAAAUGCGUAGAGAUCAGGAGGAACACCGGCGGCGAAGGCGGCCUGCUGGACCGCGACUGACGUUGAGGCUCGAAAGCGUGGGGAGCGAACAGGAUUAGAUACCCCAGUAGUC
rnacentral:rRNA from 1 species